AAGGUGGUUCAUCAACACUGAACCCCAGUGGUUCAGCUGCAAGGCUGGGUAAAGCCAACCCUGGUGCCUGCCUCAGCAGCCUUGUUUGUCCCUUCAUCACCAGGAUGAGGUGACACAGAGAGAUGAGGUGACACAGAGAGAUGAGGUGACACAGAGAGAUGAGGUGACACAGAGAGAUGAGGUGACACAGAGAGAUGAGGUG
rnacentral:other from 1 species